CCCCCCGCGGGGGACCCCCGCCCCCGCCCCCCGCAGCCUCACCUGCUCAGGGCCAGGUUUUAUUUAUGCAGGGAGCCCCCUGCGGGACCCACCGCUGAGCUGCCCAGAUGCCCCAUGACCAACCUUUCUAGGCCUCCGUUUCCAACUCCGGAAAAUAGGGAUGGUCAAGUCCAAUUUGCCAACAUAUAGCGUAACACCCGUGGCAUCUUAGACUCAGCAGCAAGCGGUUCUUCCACAUUGGCCUCACAGGUUUCAGAUCCCCCACCUCUCCAGCCUCCACUUACAGACUCUACAACUCUCAGCUGCAGAGGUGGGUGCUGCAUUUUGCCCUUCUCCGCCUCUAGCCAGGUGUCUGCCAAACUAAACGCUCAAUACAGAACAUGUUUCUUAAGAAAAAAAAAUGGAGGAAGAGAGGGAAGGAGACACACCGAUUUUGUGAGCCAAGCUAUGGAAAUUAAAGACUUAAAAAACA